AUCUUUAUGGUUGCGUAGUAGCUCAAAAGCAGUGGGGCCUCGUUUUUUGACUAUUGUGGAUGUUUGAUUUCUCAGGGCCUUGGUUGUGGUGCGAAUUAUGUUCUUGUCGUGGGGGAGUGUGAGAUGGUUGGUUGUGCUAGAUCGUUGGGGCGUGUGGUCUAGAGGAUCAAUGUUUUCUGCAGAUUGCGGUGCCUUUUUCCAUAGCCCUUCGAUAACUUUGUUGGAAUAUCCAUACUUACAUCCGAUCUUGUGUAUGUAUUGCCGUUCGGACUCUUUAUCCGACCAUUUGGUGACGUGUGUGAGUGUCCGAGAGAUCGUGGACCGAAGUGCUGACAGUUUGUGCGAGAUCGGAUCUCGAGACCAUGCUGGAAUUAAAACUGGGUUAUAUGUAGG
rnacentral:lncRNA from 1 species